rnacentral:rRNA from 1 species
GACGAACGCUGGCGGCGUGCUUAACACAUGCAAGUCGAACGGAAAGGCCCUGCUUUUGUGGGGUGCUCGAGUGGCGAACGGGUGAGUAACACGUGAGUAACCUGCCCUUGACUUUGGGAUAACUUCAGGAAACUGGGGCUAAUACCGGAUAGGAGCUCCUGCUGCAUGGUGGGGGUUGGAAAGUUUCGGCGGUUGGGGAUGGACUCGCGGCUUAUCAGCUUGUUGGUGGGGUAGUGGCUUACCAAGGCUUUGACGGGUAGCCGGCCUGAGAGGGUGACCGGCAGCAGUGGGACAGAGAGAGGGCGGGGGCUCGUCCGGGAGGAGGGAGUGGGGGAUAGGGAAGACUGGGCGGGAGCCUGAUGCAGCAACGGCGCGUGCGGGAUGAAGGCCGACGGGAGGGAGACAGCUUGCGCCGGUGAAGAAGCGUGAGGGAGGGGAAGGGGUAAAGCAGCAACGGCAAACUAGGUG